rnacentral:lncRNA from 1 species
GGUGAGGUGAGGGUGGCAGGCUGUGCCUGGUUGUGGGGCCCUUGGCAGUGGCAGGGACCCUCUAGGAGGUAGGGGAUGUGUCUGGAGCCCUUGGCACUGGUAACAGUGUGGUGUGUGCAUUCCCAGGAAGGUGGGUGCAAUGGCAGUGCUCAGUUGCGUAGUCCUCUGCAGUGGCAACCUCUGGGGUGACUGGGGCAGUAGGCAGUGCCUGGUCAUGGGACCCUCAGUGCUGGCGGACUCUGCCCACCUCUGGAGUCAGAGUUGGCUGCAGAGGUUUGCACCUGCUCCCAUAGCCCAUGAAAGAGGCACCCUGCUGCCUGAGAGUCUGUGUGCAUAGAGAAGGAAGUUCCUAUGGUGGUCCAGCUCCCCCUCCUCUCACCCUCCUCAGCAAUGGUGCCUUGCUUCUCUGGUGGUCCCAGGCCUCCUCCCAUAGUGCCUUGGUUAUGGGGCACCACUCUCUAGGUGCCCCCCAUGCUGUUUUCAUACAGCCAAUCCUAGUUCUUUCCCUGGCACUGACUUCCAAAGCCUGAACCUCAGCCCCGCCUGAGUGUCUCAGGCAGUGGUGUUCUGGGCAGUGGCACUGAUCAUCGGUGCGGCUCUCUGCUUCUCCUUCCUCAGACCGGUUGCUGUGCUUUUCUCUGAGGCUUGGAGGCACCUCCUCCAUCCCAGCUGAUUUCCCUGCCAGUCAGGGGCCUCCCAGGGUGCAGAUUCCUUUCCUCUUGCACAGGUGCUUCUCAGGAGUGUUGGUCACGUCCUGAAUUCUCUUUUCCCCACUUCUCUCUCUUUUUCCCUUUUGUUCUAUCCAGUCAUGUGUUAGGGGUUUUUUGUUGUUGUUGCUUUUUGGUUUUUAUUUUGCCCGUUUUGGAAGUCUGAGGUCUUCUAGCAUUCAGCACAUAUUCUAUGAGAAUCAUUUCAAACGUAGAUUUUUAAAAUGUUGGUGGCAGAAGGGGAGCUCCACAUCAUACCCCACCGUUUGAUCCUGGAUCCCCAUCUACAGGUUUUACAGUUCUGCAUUUUAAAUUUUCCCUAUGGACAGUUUUGAGUAAAUUCUGGUGUAAGUUGUAAUGUUUGUGUUUACAUUCUCUUGAUUGCAUAUGGUUUCCAGUGAAUUAUUCUGUAACUAUUUUUGAAGAAGGCAUGGGAUAUUUGGCUCUCUUUCAGUUUGAAUUUCCAAAUGUAGUGGAUCCUGCAGUCUUGCCUUCUCAGAGCAUGGCCUCCACUGAACUGAGAGUUUGUGGCCUGCAUGUCCCAGCUGGCCAGCAGGGGGCGCCAAGCUCGCCUCUCUUACCCUUGAGGUUCCUGUGUGGUCCACGGGUGGACCUGGCUCAUGAAGGAACUUGUCCCUCAUGCUGCCGAUAGAAGCUCUGUCUCUUCAGGGUCUGCCACGGUUUCAGCUUUGGGACUACACUCAGGUGAGUCCACGCAGGCAGGAAACACAUGGCUUCAAGAUCUACCAUGUGGCCCCACCGUGGGAGGAAAAGGGGGUGCUGGGAGAUUUCUCUAUCUGGCUUAGUGUCAUGGGAGGGGGCGUCUAUUUUCAGAGGAUCCAGCAGAGGAAGGGCUUGAUGUGAAAAAUCGUAGAUUUUAAUCGGUUUCCUAUGUGGUGCUUAUGGUGUCCAGGGUUCUUUGGUAUGUGGUGUCCUGGCACCAUUUAUUGAAAGGACUGUCCUUUCCCUUGUUUCUGUUCUUGGCUCCUUUGUUAUGAGGUAACUGAUGAUAUACCAAUGGGUUUAUUUCUGUGCUCUCUAUUCUGUUCCUCUUGUCUAUGUACCUGUUCUUGUGCCAACAUCACACUGUUUUGGUGACAGUAACUUCACAAUGUAGUGUAAAGUCAGGGAGGGAGAUGCCUCCAGCUGUGUUCUUGUUUUUCAGGGUCACUUAUGGUAUUCAAUGUUCUUUAGUGUUACAUACAGAUGGUAGGCUUUUUCGUUCUGUUUCUGUGAAAAAUGUCGUUUGAAUAUUGGGGGGUUGCAUUGCGUGUACAUACUGCUUCUAUUGCCAGAUUAAGUCACAUGGGCCCCUCCCUGGAGGUCUGCAUGACUUAACUCUGUAACGAAAUUUGGUGAGCCAGGUAGGAGGCCAGGCUUGGCUCUGCUGUGCCAUCCAGUAACGCAGCCAGUCCUUGCUCACUGACCUGGAAUCAGUGAAGCUGGUUACAUAAUGGCAGUGUCCCCAGUCCUUGACCUCUGGGCCAGGGAGGGCUCCUGAAUUCAUUCUGAGGUCAAAAAGCAGCCAAGAGUUAUUUGAAAUGCUCCCCAGGUAAAGACCCUUCCUCCACCCUGGCACUUCUAAAACAAGGAUGCUUGCUCUGGAUUGGGUUUGUGUUGAGGAACCAAAUUACAUGGGGUGCUGACCCCACUCAAGCCAAUAAAGCCAAGGUUGGUUAUAGGGGUGGGCAGAUUAAGGGAAAGGAAUCUGGCCAUCUGGUUGGAGUGAGACCUCUAUUGAGAGGACUGGACGGAGUGGUUGGUCUUCUGAAUCAAGCUGACCCUCUAGUAGUGGGUGAGAUAAAGAAUUCACCAUCUGGUUGGACAAGUUCCUGGCAAGGGGAUUGGACAUGACGGUAAGUCAUCUAGAGAUCAGCACAUGGUAAGAAAUUUCCUUGGUGUUCUGUGUGUUUCAAAUCUUCUAGCCUCUGUUCUGGAUAUGGGUGAUGCUUCAAUCUCUGUUCUAUUCUUUCUGGUCUUAGGGUUAGGGUUGGUUAUGAUUUAUGGAUUAGGGGUUACAGAUUAGGAGUUAGGAUUUGGGUUAGGGUUCAGGUUCUGGUUUCAUUUAAAAAAAUUUUUUUUCGUCUUUUUGUCUUUUUAGGGCUCCAUAGUAAAAGACAAAAACAAACAAACAAACAGAAAAAAACAAACUGCAUUGGGAGAUCAAAUCCUAGCCAGUCAACAUCCCAAUGUUGCAGGUGGCAUCCAAAUAAAUUUAUUAAUAAUAUAGAAAUUUAAAAGAAUGAGCUCAAUUGAUGAAGAAGUCAUAUAUACAUUGCUACAGAGUAGCUAAGGGAAUCGACAGAGAAGGCCAUCGUAAAGGGUCUCCUGACACAUAUCUCUGGUGGCAGAGGGUUUUAAGGAUGAGCCUGGUGUUGUACAGCAGUGGCGUGGAUUCAAUUACUCGGCAGACAAUAUCUGCCUGCCACAAAUGGGUGCAGAAAAAUAAAUGGGUAAGUUAAAACAAAUAAAUAAUAAUGUUAAUCUGGAAAUUCAUACACCCUAGGUACUUACUUCUGGUCAGAUGUCACAGUCACAUUGCUAAGAAAUCUUGACAGGUUCAUCAGAGCCAGCUUGCUUUUUUUUCUCUUUUUUUCCUCAAUAGGCAAGAACUAGACCUAGACACCUUCUCUGGUGAACGCUAAGCCAGUAAAUUGUUGUUUUAAAUCAUUUUUAAUUUCCAUUAUAGUGGAUUUAUAGUGCUCAAUUUCACCUUAACCGAAAAGUAAUCCGGUCAUACAUGAAUAUACAUAUUCUUUUUCUCACAUUAUCCUCCAUCUCAUUCCAAAAAAAAAGUGACUAGAAAUAAUUCCCUUUGCUAUAAAGCAGGAUGUCAUUGCUAUAUCAAUCCUAGUGCUGAGUUUGCCUCUAGUACGCUCCAAAUCCCAGUCCUUCCCACACCCUCCCCUCCGAUUAGGGAACCACAAGUCUGUUUCCCAGUCCAUGAGUUUCUUUUCUGUAGAAAGGUUCAUUUGUGCCAUUUGUUAAAUUCCAGAUAGAAAGGGUAUCCUAUGGCAUCUGUCCCUCUCUUUUGGACUUCUUUCACUUAAGAUGAGAGUUUCUAGUUCCAUCUAUAUGGCUGCAAAUGACAUGUCUUGUUCUUUUUUAUGGCUGAAUAGUAUUCCAUUGUGUAUAUGUACAAUAUCUUCCUAAUCCAUUCAUCUGUCCAUGGACAUUGUGUUUGUUUCCAUGUUUUGGCUGUUGUAAAUAGUGCUGCAAAGAACAUAGCAGGGCAUGUAUCUUUUUAAAAGAACCUUCAUGCAGACAUAUGCCCAAGAGUGGGAUUGUUGGUUCAUACAGUCGUUCUACAUGUAGUUUUCAGAUUUACCUUGAUCCUCUUGUCCAUAGUGCUUGUAUCAAUUUACAUACCCACCCACACUAUAGGUAUGUAAAUAGGCAUCUAUAGGCACCCUCUUCUCCAUACCCUCUCCAGGAUUCAUUAUUUGUAGACUUACUGAUGAUGGCUGUUCAUUUGGGGUGAGGUGGUACCUCAGACUAGUUUUGAUUUGUGUUUCUCUCCUAAUGACUGAGGGCGAUCAUUUUUUUCAGGUUCAUGUUGCCCUCUGUAUCUGGUUUAGGGAAAUGUCUAUUCAGGUGUUUUGCCCAUUUUUCAAUUUGGUUCUUGCUUUAUAGUUUUGCUGUUGGGUUGUAUCAGUUGUUGAGCUGGUAAUUUUGAAACCCCAGCCUGACCUGUGCUUUAGGAUCCAGAUAAAGUGCCUGAGGCUUAUCCAUGGAAGGUGGUAAAUGGUGAUAUUUUGGUGAGCAGCUACACUAAUUCCUGUGCUUUCUCUCAAGAGGUCUCCUGAAUCUCCAUCCUUUUCUUUCCAUGUGAGCCUCUUUUUUUCUCUUUAUACACCAGGUAUGAAGACCUGAUCUAAAGCCUGGUUGGGUGAAUUAAGGCCAGUAGAUUGAUAUAAAGAAAACUCUCAUGGAGAUCCCUCUUAGCUCCCUGAGUUAAAGAUUUCUCUUUGUCUCUGUGCUGGGUUUGGUAACCUCUGUGGCUUGAAAACAAUCGAUGGGCAGACCACUUAGUCUCACUUCAGGUGGGUAUGGCACCAGCACAUGGAAGGCUGACUGAAAC